rnacentral:rRNA from 1 species
GACGAACGCUGGCGGCGUGCUUAACACAUGCAAGUCGAACGGAAAGGCCCUGCUUUUGUGGGGUGCUCGAGUGGCGAACGGGUGAGUAACACGUGAGUAACCUGCCCUUGACUUUGGGAUAACUUCAGGAAACUGGGGCUAAUACCGGAUAGGAGCUCCUGCCGCAUGGUGGGGGUUGGAAAGUUUCGGCGGUUGGGGAUGGACUCGCGGCUUAUCAGCUUGUUGGUGGGGUAGUGGCUUACCAAGGCUUUGACGGGUAGCCGGCCUGAGAGGGUGACCGGCCACAUUGGGACUGAGAUACGGCCCAGACUCCUACGGGAGGCAGCAGUGGGGAAUACUGCACAAUGGGCGGAAGCCUGAUGCAGCAACGCCGCGUGCGGGAUGACGGCCUUCGGGUUGUAAACCGCUUUCGCCUGUGACGAAGCGUGAGUGACGGUAAUGGGUAAAGAAGCACCGGCUAACUACGUG